UACGUAGGGCGCAGGCGUUGUCCGGAAUUAUUGGGCGUAAAGAGCUCGUAGGCGGUUUGUCGCGUCUGCUGUGAAAACCUAAGGCUCAACCUUGGGCUUGCAGUGGGUACGGGCAGACUAGAGUGCGGUAGGGGUGACUGGAAUUCCUGGUGUAGCGGUGGAAUGCGCAGAUAUCAGGAGGAACACCGGUGGCGAAGGCAGGUCACUGGGCCGCAACUGACGCUGAGGAGCGAAAGCAUGGGGAGCGAACAGG
rnacentral:rRNA from 1 species